ACUCCUACGGGAGGCAGCAGUGGGGAAUUUUGGACAAUGGGCGGAAGCCUGAUCCAGCAAUACCGCGUGUGUGAAGAAGGCCUGAGGGUUGUAAAGCACUUUCAAUAGGGAGGAAAAAGCUUAGGCUAAUAUCCUGAGUAUUGACAUUACCUAUAGAAGAAGCACCGGCUAACUCCGUGCCAGCAGCCGCGGUAAU
rnacentral:rRNA from 1 species